rnacentral:lncRNA from 1 species
AGUUGCAAAGCUUCCGGUUCUGGGGGAAGGCGUGGCUUCCGCGCUCUUUGAAAUGUCCGGCGCCGGAAUGUCUGGGUGCUUUGGUUGGAGAGGGUCCCAUUUCCAGUCAUUCUUCAGCCUGGUGAUUCCCGCGCUCCCCUGAGGAGCAUAUGAAGUACGUCGGUUCUGCCAGGUUGGAACGCGCUGCUGGACACUCGGCCGUAAGGCGGAUCCCGGAUCCCCUCCCACUCCGACCCUUCCCUCCAGAAGGGCCGGUUCCCAAACGGCCCCUUUAGACACAUCCAAGCGGUUGCCGACGGCCCUCACGAUGAAAACUGCUGUCCGUUGGUGAAGGCAGCCUCUUCUGUGCUCCUCGCCGCUGACUUCCUGAGGCGGACCUACCUGUGGAGGCAUACCAGGAACCAGACGAUGACCCCCUCCAAAAGUUGGGUCUUUGAGGAGAGCUACUAACUUGGGUUCCUGGUACACCCUCUACAUGCAGUGGUGAAGCUUAUCUAACAGUCAUUCAUAGAAUCAGUUUGGGAAGGGGAAUUUUCACUGAACUCUCAUAGAGAAACUGUGUUUUAGAUAACAGAAAGUUCUGCACGGUUAAAAUGGAACAGAAAUUUUUUUGCACAGAAAUUAGGAUUACCGAAAAUACUGAAGAAAGACUACCUCUGAUUGGACUCUUCUCAAGGAAUUAAUAAUUCAAGAACUAAGGAAAGAAAAAAGUGAUUAUAUGAAAAUACUGAAGUUGAUCGUAGCAGCUGAAGGCUGAUCCUGUGUGGGUAAAUGUAAACGCUGAAUUCCCACAUUCCAAUGUGCGACCUGGGAUUAAGGCAGCAAUUGAGCAGGGCUGAAGUACAUUGGUGCAAUCUUGGCUCACUGCAUCUCCACCCCAGGUUCAAGCGAUUCUCCUGCCUCAGCCUCCCAAGCAGCUGGGAUUACAGGUUUUGCCUUUUCCAGAAUGUCACAUAAAUGGAAUCAUACUGUGUCCGGAAUUGGUGGGUUCUUGGUCUCACUGACUUCAAGAAUGACGCCAUGGGCCCUCGCGGUGAGUGUUACAGCUCUUAAGGUGGCGCGUCUGGAGUUUGUUCCUUCUGAUGUUCGGAUGUGUUCGGAGUUUCUUCCUUCUGGUGGGUUCGUGGUCUCGCUGGCUCAGGAGUGAAGCUGCAGACUUUCGCGAUUUCAUCUCUCUCUCUGCUAUGGACACAGAUGGCUUCACUCCAUCCUGUAUUCUUCGGACCAUGAUAAAAUUCCAGACUCUCGGUAGUUUUUGCGUUCCAAGAAGUAGAGCCUAGAGUGGUGGCCUAUAAUUACAGUUACUCAGGAGGCUGAGGCAGGAGGAUCCUUUGAGUCCAGCAGUUUGAGGCCAGCCUGGACACCACAGCAAGACCACCAAUAAAUAAAUAAAUAAAUGGAACAUGUUUCCCUGUC